GAUGAACGCUAGCGACAGGCCUAACACAUGCAAGGUCGAGGGGCAUCGGGACGUAGCAAUACGUUGCCGGCGACCGGCGGAUGGGUGAGUAACGCGUAUGCAACCUACCCGUAGCAGGGGGAUAGCCCGUUGAAAGACGGAUUAAUACCCCGUAACACAGGGGCUCCGCAUGGAGAUUAUUGUUAAAGGGUCAUUUCUUUUAGAGGUGGUCCGGCUGCGGAUGGGCAUGCGUUCCAUUAGGUAGUUGGUGUAGGUAACGGCUCACCAAGCCGACGAUGGAUAGGGGAACUGAGAGGUUGGUCCCCCACACUGGUACUGAGACACGGACCAGACUCCUACGGGAGGCAGCAGUGAGGAAUCUUGGUCAAUGGACGCAAGUCUGAACCAGCCAUGUCGCGUGAAGGAGGACGGCCCUAAGGGUUGUAAACUUCUUUUGCAGCGGAAUAAAGUUUGCCACGAGUUGGCGAUUUGCAAGUACGCUGCGAAUAAGGAUCGGCUAACUCCGUG
rnacentral:rRNA from 1 species